rnacentral:rRNA from 1 species
GGGUCAGUAGGUUGGUCGUGCCACCGGUACGUACUGGUCUCACUGGUUCCUCCUUCCUGAAGAACCGUAAUGCCAUUAAUUUGGUGUUGCGGGGAAACAGGACUGUUACUUUGAAAAAAUUAGAGUGUUUAGAGCAAGAUAACGCUUGAAUACAUUAGCAUGGAAUAAUGAAAUAGGACGAUCGAUCCUAUUUUGUUGGUUUCUAGGAUUGACGUA